GCUGGUUUCCUAAUCAUGUAUUGUAUAUGUAUCGCUCUUUUAACUAUAGUGAAAUAGAUCCAUCAUUGGGGCACAUGAUCCUCACAUUGGUGUCUCGUGUAUUAAGUUUUUCUAACUCUUGUGUCAACCCUUUUGCACUUUACCUUCUCAGUGAGAGUUUCAGAAGACACUUCAAUAGCCAACUCUGUUGUCGGAGGAAAGCUCAUCAUGAGAGGUCUACUAGCUAUCUGCUUAACUCAUCUGCAGUACGAAUGACAUCUCUGAAAAGUAAUGUUAGAAAUACUGUAACCAGUAGCUCUUUACUUAAUGGACACAGUCGUCAGGAAGUAUCCUUAUGAUCUCUAAAGAAAGAAAAAAUAUUAAG